GAUUUACUCCCUCCGUUCCAAAAUAGAUGACCCAACUUUGCACAAACUCUGUACAAAGUUAGUGCAAAGUUGGGUCAUCUAUUUUGGAACGGAGGGAGUACAAU
rnacentral:pre_miRNA from 1 species